UCCCUGGUGGUCCAGUGGCUACGACUCUGUGCUUUCAUUGCCGAGGGCCAGGUUCAAUCCCUGGUUGGGGAA
rfam:Ovis aries breed Texel chromosome 11, whole genome shotgun sequence.